CUGAGCACGUGACAGUCUGGAGCCGUGGAGAACGUUCUGCUGCCUGCAACAUCCUCCAGCAUGACCGGUUUGGAGGUGGGUCAGUCAUGAUGUGGGGUGGCAUUUAUUUGGGGGGCCGCACAGCCCUCCAUGUGCUCGCCAGAGGUAGCCUGACUGCCAUUAGGUACCGAGAUGAGAUCCUCAGACCCCUUGUGAGACCAUAUGCUGGUGCGGUUGGCCCUGGGUUCCUCCUAAUGCAAGACAAUGCUAGACCUCAUGUGGCUGGAGUGUGUCAGCAGUUCCUGCAAGAGGAAGGCAUUGAUGCUAUGGACUGGCCCGUCCGUUCCCCAGACCUGAAUCCAAUUGAGCACAUCUGGGACAUCAUGUCUCGCUCCAUCCACCACGUUGCACCACAGACUGUCCAGGAGUUGGCGGAUGCUUUUGUCCAGGUCUGGGAGGAGAUCCCUCAGGAGACCAUCCGCCACCUCAUCAGGAGCAUGCCCAGGCGUUGUAGGGAGGUCAUACAGGCACGUGGAGGCCACACACACUACUGAGCCUCACUUUGACUUGUUUUAAGGACAUUACAUCAAAGUUGGAUCAGCCUGUAGUGUGGUUUUCCACUUUAAUUGUGAGUGUCACUCCAAAUCCAGACCUCCAUGGGUUGAUCAAUUUGAUUUCCAUUGAUAAUUUUUGUGUGAUUUUGUUGUCAGCACAUUCAACUAUGUAAAGAAAAAAGUAUUUAAUCAGAAUAUUUAAUUCAUUCAGAUCUAGGAUGUGUUAUUUUAGUGUUCCCUUUAUUUUCUGGGAGCAGUGUAUUUAUAAAAAUACUUACUAUGAAGUAGCGCGUGUUAAACACAUCCAAAUGUAUUUUAUAUUUGAGACUGAUGACAUCUCUGCUCUCUCCAUAUAAGAACAAGACCAACAGCAGUAAGCAGCAAUGAUAAUAGUAGUGGUGAAAUGGGAUCAGGGCUGAGUAAGGUAUCAAUGAUAAUAGUAGUGGUGAAAUGGGAUCAGGGCUGAGUAAGGCAUCAAUGAUAAUAGUAGUGGUGAAAUGGGAUCAGGGCUGAGUAAGGUAUCAAUGAUAAUAGUAGUGGUGAAAUGGGAUCAGGGCUGAGUAAGGUAUCAAUGAUAAUAGUAGUGGUGAAAUGGGAUCAGGGCUGAGUAAGGUAUCAAUGAUAAUAGUAGUGGUGAAAUGGGAUCAGGGCUGAGUAAGGUAGUGGUGAAAUGGGAUCAGGGCUGAGUAAGGUAGUGGUGAAAUGGGAUCAGGGCUGAGUAAGGCAUCAAUGAUAAUAGUAGUGGUGAAAUGGGAUCAGGGCUGAGUAAGGUAUCAAUGAUAAUAGUAGUGGUGAAAUGGGAUCAGGGCUGAGUAAGGCAUCAAUGAUAAUAGUAGUGGUGAAAUGGGAUCAGGGCUGAGUAAGGCAUCAAUGAUAAUAGUAGUGGUGAAAUGGGAUCAGGGCUGAGUAAGGUAUCAAUGAUAAUAGUAGUGGUGAAAUGGGAUCAGGGCUGAGUAAGGUAUCAAUGAUAAUAGUAGUGGUGAAAUGGGAUCAGGGCUGAGUAAGGCAUCAAUGAUAAUAGUAGUGGUGAAAUGGGAUCAGGGCUGAGUAAGGCAUCAAUGAUAAUAGUAGUAGUGAAAUGGGAUCAGGGCUGAGUAAGGCAUCAAUGAUAAUAGUAGUGGUGAAAUGGGAUCAGGGCUGAGUAAGGCAUCAAUGAUAAUAGUAGUGGUGAAAUGGGAUCAGGGCUGAGUAAGGCAUCAAUGAUAAUAGUAGUGGUGAAAUGGGAUCAGGGCUGAGUAAGGUAUCAAUGAUAAUAGUAGUGGUGAAAUGGGAUCAGGGCUGAGUAAGGUAUCAAUGAUAAUAGUAGUGGUGAAAUGGGAUCAGGGCUGAGUAAGGCAUCAAUGAUAAUAGUAGUGGUGAAAUGGGAUCAGGGCUGAGUAAGGCAUCAAUGAUAAUAGUAGUGGUGAAAUGGGAUCAGGGCUGAGUAAGGCAUCAAUGAUAAUAGUAGUGGUGAAAUGGGAUCAGGGCUGAGUAAGGUAUCAAUGAUAAUAGUAGUGGUGAAAUGGGAUCAGGGCUGAGUAAGGUAUCAAUGAUAAUAGUAGUGGUGAAAUGGGAUCAGGGCUGAGUAAGGUAUCAAUGAUAAUAGUAGUGGUGAAAUGGGAUCAGGGCUGAGUAAGGUAUCAAUGAUAAUAGUAGUGGUGAAAUGGGAUCAGGGCUGAGUAAGGCAUCAAUGAUAAUAGUAGUGGUGAAAUGGGAUCAGGGCUGAGUAAGGCAUCAAUGAUAAUAGUAGUGGUGAAAUGGGAUCAGGGCUGAGUAAGGUAUCAAUGAUAAUAGUAGUGGUGAAAUGGGAUCAGGGCUGAGUAAGGUAGUAGUGAAAUGGGAUCAGGGCUGAGUAAGGUAUCAAUGAUAAUAGUAGUGGUGAAAUGGGAUCAGGGCUGAGUAAGGUAUCAAUGAUAAUAGUAGUGGUGAAAUGGGAUCAGGGCUGAGUAAGGUAUCAAUGAUAAUAGUAGUGGUGAAAUGGGAUCAGGGCUGAGUAAGGCAUCAAUGAUAAUAGUAGUGGUGAAAUGGGAUCAGGGCUGAGUAAGGUAUCAAUGAUAAUAGUAGUGGUGAAAUGGGAUCAGGGCUGAGUAAGGUAUCAAUGAUAAUAGUAGUGGUGAAAUGGGAUCAGGGCUGAGUAAGGCAUCAAUGAUAAUAGUAGUGGUGAAAUGGGAUCAGGGCUGAGUAAGGCAUCAAUGAUAAUAGUAGUGGUGAAAUGGGAUCAGGGCUGAGUAAGGUAUCAAUGAUAAUAGUAGUGGUGAAAUGGGAUCAGGGCUGAGUAAGGCAUCAAUGAUAAUAGUAGUGGUGAAAUGGGAUCAGGGCUGAGUAAGGUAUCAAUGAUAAUAGUAGUGGUGAAAUGGGAUCAGGGCUGAGUAAGGUAUCAAUGAUAAUAGUAGUGGUGAAAUGGGAUCAGGGCUGAGUAAGGUAUCAAUGAUAAUAGUAGUGGUGAAAUGGGAUCAGGGCUGAGUAAGGUAUCAAUGAUAAUAGUAGUGGUGAAAUGGGAUCAGGGCUGAGUAAGGCAUCAAUGAUAAUAGUAGUGGUGAAAUGGGAUCAGGGCUGAGUAAGGCAUCAAUGAUAAUAGUAGUGGUGAAAUGGGAUCAGGGCUGAGUAAGGCAUCAAUGAUAAUAGUAGUGGUGAAAUGGGAUCAGGGCUGAGUAAGGCAUCAAUGAUAAUAGUAGUGGUGAAAUGGGAUCAGGGCUGAGUAAGGUAUCAAUGAUAAUAGUAGUGGUGAAAUGGGAUCAGGGCUGAGUAAGGCAUCAAUGAUAAUAGUAGUGGUGAAAUGGGAUCAGGGCUGAGUAAGGCAUCAAUGAUAAUAGUAGUGGUGAAAUGGGAUCAGGGCUGAGUAAGGUAUCAAUGAUAAUAGUAGUGGUGAAAUGGGAUCAGGGCUGAGUAAGGUAUCAAUGAUAAUAGUAGUGGUGAAAUGGGAUCAGGGCUGAGUAAGGCAUCAAUGAUAAUAGUAGUGGUGAAAUGGGAUCAGGGCUGAGUAAGGCAUCAAUGAUAAUAGUAGUGGUGAAAUGGGAUCAGGGCUGAGUAAGGUAUCAAUGAUAAUAGUAGUGGUGAAAUGGGAUCAGGGCUGAGUAAGGUAUCAAUGAUAAUAGUAGUGGUGAAAUGGGAUCAGGGCUGAGUAAGGUAUCAAUGAUAAUAGUAGUGGUGAAAUGGGAUCAGGGCUGAGUAAGGUAUCAAUGAUAAUAGUAGUGGUGAAAUGGGAUCAGGGCUGAGUAAGGUAUCAAUGAUAAUAGUAGUGGUGAAAUGGGAUCAGGGCUGAGUAAGGCAUCAAUGAUAAUAGUAGUGGUGAAAUGGGAUCAGGGCUGAGUAAGGUAUCAAUGAUAAUAGUAGUGGUGAAAUGGGAUCAGGGCUGAGUAAGGUAUCAAUGAUAAUAGUAGUGGUGAAAUGGGAUCAGGGCUGAGUAAGGCAUCAAUGAUAAUAGUAGUGGUGAAAUGGGAUCAGGGCUGAGUAAGGUAUCAAUGAUAAUAGUAGUGGUGAAAUGGGAUCAGGGCUGAGUAAGGCAUCAAUGAUAAUAGUAGUGGUGAAAUGGGAUCAGGGCUGAGUAAGGCAUCAAUGAUAAUAGUAGUGGUGAAAUGGGAUCAGGGCUGA